rnacentral:rRNA from 1 species
UAUCUCUGUAGAGUCUGCAUAUCAAUAAGCGGAGGAAAAGAAACUAACAAGGAUUCCCCUAGUAACGGCGAGUGAAGCGGGAAGAGCUCAAAUUUGAAAUCUUAAAGGGUUUCCCUUUACGAAUUGUAGUUUAAAGAAGUGUUUUCUGUUGGAGUUUCGGUAAAAGUUCUUUGGAAUCGGACAUCAUAGAGGGUGAGAAUCCCGUAUUUGACCGUUACUUUCCAGCUGUGUGAUACACUUUCAAAGAGUCGGAUUGUUUGGGAAUGCAGUCCAAAAUGGGUGGUAAAUUUCAUCUAAAGCUAAAUAUUGGCGAGAGACCGAUAGCGAACAAGUACCGUGAGGGAAAGAUGAAAAGAACUUUGAAAAGAGAGUUAAACAGUACGUGAAAUUGUCAAAAGGGAAGCGUUUGACACCAGUGUUGUUUUUCCGAAAAUCAAUUAAAAAUUGAUUCAUGCCAGGUUGUAUUGACCUUAUCAGCUUGCAAUUUGGUUUUGGGUCUCUUUUUGAUGCACUUUUCGGUUAACAAGUCAACAUCAAUUUCCUUUGCUGUAAAAAGGUAAGAGGAAGGUGGCUUCAAUUUCGGUUGAAGUGUUUAUAGCCUUUUAUCUCUGCAGUCGGGGAGAUUGAGGUCUGCAGCGUAGAUCCUUCGGAGCUAGAUACAUUUAUGCUAAGUUAUAGCUUUUCAUAGACAACUUGUUGACUAUGUUUAGUCAUGUAGCUUACUCGUAAGUGCUAUUUUACCUACGCUUAGGAUGUUGAGCGCAUGUCUCUCUCU